rnacentral:lncRNA from 1 species
GUGUUUGGUCUGAAAGGGAGACUCGUCGUGAAAUGGAUCACAUCAGCAUGGAACACUGGAGAAGCAGCGUUCAGUGGAGAACACUGGAGUAGCAGCGAGGCUUAAUGGAAAGAGCCCGGGCUCGGGAGUCAGAGGUCAAGAAAACUCUACCUGUUUGGAGAAGUUCAAAGACUAAGGGCCCUCCCUCCGGUGACCGGCCUGAUUCGCUGUGCAGAACUGUUUGGGAUGGCAACCAUGCCGAGGCCAGAACUGAGAUGUAGACAGGGAAAUUCUUGCUGAUAUUCAACUGUGUGGCUCAGAAACUGCAUCGUGAUUAUACAGUUACAGCCCACGUGAGAAAGUCCCAAGACUAAGGUGCCUUCAAAAGCUGGAGUCACUUCUGCAUUACUGAAUGGGAUACAGUAUUUGAGGAGUCUUGGACUGCUGACUGUACUUUCCAAGCACUCAGUACAGUGCUCUGUACACAGUAAGCGCUCUACAAGUAUAAUUGAAUGAAUGAAUAAAUGAACAUGCCUCUAUUUGUAUUGAUAUCUGCUUAUUUGUCCUGAUGUCUGUCUUCCCCUCUCUAGACUGUGAGCUCAUUGUGGGCAGGGGUUGUUACUGUUUUUUGUUGUGUUGUACUUUACCAAGUGCUUAGUACAGUGCUUUGCACACAGUAAGCGCUUAGUAAAUAUGAGUGAAUGAAUGCA